UACACUCCUGCGGGAGGCAGCAGUGGGGAAUUUUGGACAAUGGGCGAAAGCCUGAUCCAGCCAUGCCGCGUGCAGGAUGAAGGCCUUCGGGUUGUAAACUGCUUUUGUACGGAACGAAACGGCCUUUUCUAAUAAAGAGGGCUAAUGACGGUACCGUAAGAAUAAGCACCGGCUAACUACGUGCCAGCAGCCGCGGUAAUACGUAGGGUGCAAGCGUUAAUCGGAAUUACUGGGCGUAAAGCGUGCGCAGGCGGUUAUGUAAGACAGUUGUGAAAUCCCCGGGCUCAACCUGGGAACUGCAUCUGUGACUGCAUAGCUAGAGUACGGUAGAGGGGGAUGGAAUUCCGCGUGUAGCAGUGAAAUGCGUAGAUAUGCGGAGGAACACCGAUGGCGAAGGCAAUCCCCUGGACCUGUACUGACGCUCAUGCACGAAAGCGUGGGGAGCAAACAGGAUUAGAAACCCGGGUAGUCCCAUGA
rnacentral:rRNA from 1 species